CCUGGGCGACAGUGAGACCCCCCUCCAGAUAAAAAAACAAGAGAAAAACCCCAGUCUUGCCACUGACUUGCUAGGUAGGUGACACCAGGUGGGGCCCUUCUCAUUGGGCAUGCUAGAAGAGUCUCAAUCCCGGGAUGGGACAGGCAGGCAGGUGACAGCCUGAUUUUGGCUGCUGCCGCCUCUGUGGAGGGAUCUCUGGUUGUGGGCCCUCUCACCUGUCUUGAGCUGAGAUGCCUGCCUCUCAUCACUCUGGGCUCCCCUGGCCUCACGGUGGCCUGGCCUCAGGUGCCCUCCCUGAGUCCAUGUUGAGACUGGCUAGGCCAGGCGUCUUGCGUACCAUGCUUCACAGACAGGCUGUGACCUGCCUCUCUGCUGCCUCAAAGCAGCAGUGUGCUUAUAAAUGGUUAACAACCAGCUUUCCAGGAAAGGAAAUGUACACGUAUGUAUGUAGGCAUGGAUCUCUCUCCCUUCCUCCUCUGUCUCUGUCUCUAUAUACACACAGGCACAUGCAUACAUAUAUGUGAACACACAAUUUACAAAUAAUAAAAUCCACAAUAUAUAAAAAAUUCAACAAAAUGUACAAUAUACUCCUCACUGUAAAUUCCACAUGGCCAGUCGAUACUCACAAAAUGCCUUCAUUGACUUUUACUGAGUUCUUGUAUCUGUAUCCAGUACUUGAUUGCAACGGAUGGACGGGUGGUUCCCACAUGUAUGUUGGCUGAUGUUUUCAUUUAUUUUAAUAAGAUCAACUCGAAGCAGCUAAGAUGAGCAACUUCUUUGCUUAACUGGAUGAUAGUUUUCAAAUACCAGAAAUGUUUCUCUUUCUUUUUUUUUCUAUUUGUAAUGUAAUGACCACAGACCCAGCGUUCUUCAGUUUAAUCUGCAAUAUUAGCAUUUUCCUCGUCGCUUUCUAAAGUCUAGGCAAUCAACAAAGCAGUAAUACAUCAAGCCCUGGCAAGCCGUGGCAUGCCCAGCUCUGUGGCGUAAUACUUCCACUUGGCCAGUCUUGAGCUACCAACAUGAAGUCACUGAAGGUGACCUUGGGAAGAGACUCCAGGAUUUCCACCACAGACAUCUGACAGAUGGCAACACACAGCAACAGUAAAGCAUGCUCGAAUCAUGAAGACAUUUCAGAAAGUCAAGAGUGUACAGAUGUUGGUCCUCAGGAGCUUCAUUUACCUGGCCCAUCACCGAAGAGGCAGAAAUGGAAGACCAGGCUGAGGGAGGCUGGGGAGAGGGGUAUCCGGAGGCCCAAGAGGAAGACGAUGAAGAAGAUGCCGAGGAAGAAUGAGAAGCUGAGGUGACAGCAGCUGGCAGGUCUCAUUGUCACCCAGGCUGGAGUGCACUGUUGCGAUCUUGGCUCACUGCGACUUCCGC